AUUGAACGCUGGCGGCAGGCCUAACACAUGCAAGUCGAACGAGGGGCGGACGGGUGAGUAAUGUCUGGGCAACUGCCAGAGGGAGGGGGAUAACUACUGGAAACGGUAGCUAAUACCGCAUACCAUCGGAUGUGCCCAGAUGGGAUGAGCUUGUAGGUGAGGUAACGGCUCACCUAGGCGACGAUCCCUAGCUGGUCUGAGAGGAUGAUCAGUCACACUGGAACUGAGACACGGUCCAGACGCCUACGGGAGGCAGCAGUGGGGAAUAUUGCACAAUGGGCGCAAGCCUGAUGCAGCCAUGCCGCGUGUAUGAAGAAGGCCUUCGGUUUGUAAAGUACUUGCAGCUGGGAGGCGUUACCCACAGAAGAAGCACCGGCUAACUCCGUGCCAGCCGCCGCGGUAAUUC
rnacentral:rRNA from 1 species